rnacentral:rRNA from 1 species
CAGCCGCCGCGGUAAUACGGAGGGAGCUAGCGUUGUUCGGAAUUACUGGGCGUAAAGCGCACGUAGGCGGUUAUUCAAGUCAGAGGUGAAAGCCCGGGGCUCAACCCCGGAACUGCCUUUGAAACUAGAUGACUAGAAUCUUGGAGAAGUCAGUGGAAUUCCGAGUGUAGAGGUGAAAUUCGUAGAUAUUCGGAAGAACACCAGUGGCGAAGGCGACUGACUGGACAAGUAUUGACGCUGAGGUGCGAAAGCGUGGGGAGCAAACAGGAUUAGAUACCCGCGUAGUCCCUGUCUCUUAUAC